rnacentral:sRNA from 1 species
UCGAUUUUUUAAAUGUUGCUAUACAAACU